AGCGAACGCUGGCGGCAGGCCUAACACAUGCCAGUCGAACGAACUCUUCGGAGUUAGUGGCGGACGGGUGAGUAACACGUGGGAACGUGCCUUUUGGUUCGGAAUAACUCAGGGAAACUUGUGCUAAUACCGAAUGUGCCCUUCGGGGGAAAGAUUUAUCGCCAUUAGAGCGGCCCGCGUCUGAUUAGCUAGUUGGUGAGGUAACGGCUUACCAAGGCGACGAUCAGUAGCUGGUCUGAGAGGAUGACCAGCCACACUGGGACUGAGACACGGCCCAGACUCCUACGGGAGGCAGCAGUGGGGAAUCUUGCGCAAUGGGCGAAAGCCUGACGCAGCCAUGCCGCGUGAAUGAUGAAGGUCUUAGGAUUGUAAAAUUCUUUCACCGGGGACGAUAAUGACGGUACCCGGAGAAGAAGCCCCGGCUAACUUCGUG
rnacentral:rRNA from 1 species